rnacentral:rRNA from 1 species
GAUGAACGCUGGCGGCGUGCCUAAUACAUGCAAGUAGAACGCUGAAGGAAGGAGCUUGCUCUUUCCGGAUGAGUUGCGAACGGGUGAGUAACGCGUAGGUAACCUGCCUGGUAGCGGGGGAUAACUAUUGGAAACGAUAGCUAAUACCGCGUAACAGUAGAUGUUGCAUGAUAUCUACUUAAAAGGUGCAAUUGCACCACUACCAGAUGGACCUGCGUUGUAUUAGCUAGUUGGUGAGGUAACGGCUCACCAAGGCGACGAUACAUAGCCGACCUGAGAGGGUGAUCGGCCACACUGGGACUGAGACACGGCCCAGACUCCUACGGGAGGCAGCAGUAGGGAAUCUUCGGCAAUGGACGGAAGUCUGACCGAGCAACGCCGCGUGAGUGAAGAAGGUUUUCGGAUCGUAAAGCUCUGUUGUAAGAGAAGAACGAGUGUGAGAGUGGAAAGUUCACACUGUGACGGUAGCUUACCAGAAAGGGACGGCUAACUACGUG